rnacentral:lncRNA from 1 species
UGAUGAAUGUUUUUUUUACAAAUAUUAUGACUUUUUCUACAUAUUGGUUGUAUGCAAAAAUAUGACAUAUAAAUACCCUUUUUGUUUCUUCUAUAUUUUUAUUUUUGUUGGAUCAAUUAAGUUGAUAUGAAAAUUGCAAUGCAAUGCAGUGCUUGCUUAAUUUCAAAGCUGAAAACUAACAAAAUACUAAUAUCAUAUAUUCCUUUUCGUGAUUCAAUAGUUGAUUUCGAAACACAAGUAAAAAUGAAUGGUUCAUUCAAAAUAUUUUCAUUUGUCACAAAGUAGCAGUAAUGUGCACGUGUUGCGGUGCAAAUAUAUGAAAUUGAUAUUAUCAUCAUAUACUUGUUAUAUAUAUAUAAAGUGGAACUUGAUGCGGUUUGAAUUUGAUACAUUUCAAUUGAAUCACACUAACCAAUUUUUUUUUCCUACUUAAUUGUUUUGCUACGCCACACAUACUUGGCUUGAUGAUGCCGGCAACGAAACGACCCUGGAUGCUUUGACGGCGAGCACACACACUGCUUAGUUGAACCAUCCUCGCCACCGUGACCCUGCCCUGCCACCAGCACCACCGCCGGUUCUUGCUCUGGUUCCGUGUCCACCACUAUUUGCACCCCCCUGGAUUCAUUCCAUCUUGUGUGACACAUUUUUCUUAUUAUGUCUCUUCUCAAUUCUAUUUACAACUUAGACUUAAUAUAAAUAUAUGUGCUUCACUUGACUUGGUUAAGUUAAGGAAUUUGAAAGGGAAAAUAAAUAUGUGGAUCAUAUGAAAUUGUAGAGUAAUGUUUUUAUUUUUUAUUUUAGAUAAGAUUCCUUUAGAGUGUGGUUUGUGAUUUGUAAUGAAAUUUGCAACAAGUAUUUUUUUGAGGUCAUUUUGUGAGAUUAAGACAGACAAAUCACACUGCUGUGU